AGGGGUGGGAGGAGAGUCGUUAUACUACUACACUACCGGUCCCUAACUCUCGAGCAAUUAAAUUCAGACCAAGUAUUGUUGCCCUUUAGAUGCAAAAGAAAUCUGGACAAAGAUUCUGAGUAAUAGAAAGAUUCUAGUCAGUAUUUUGUUUCAUUUAUUAUUAAAUAGCACAUGAUUUUGGGAGGAUGGGGGCAGUGGGACAGCAUAGUUUUUUAAUUUCUCCAAAUAUCAUGGCAUAAAAACAGACUGAGCAGCUAGACAGCAAAGCCAAACAUCCAUAAAUAGCAGUUCUGCUUCUGGUAACAGCAGAGUAGGUUGUAUCAGACCAACCCCUCCUAUAGAUAACAAUUACAGACUGGACAGAAUAUAUCAAAACAGCUAUCUGAAGGCCCUGAGAGUGACCAAAAUCAGACAUAGACUGUAGGGCAGUCAACACUUAUAUAAGAAGGGAACGGUACUUGGAACUUCCUGAGGGCAAGGACUUUGGCUUACUGUGUUCUUGGUGCUCAGUUUGGUAAUUAGAUCAUGGUAGGUACUUGGAGGUGUCUUUGGGAGGGAAAGGUGGAGCUGGUAGUCAUUAGAAAGAUGGAAGCAAUAUGGCAUAGCAGAAAAAGCAUGGACAGAUCUGGAGUAACCAGUUACUCCUACCACUUAGAUAGGACAUCAUCUAGCCCCUCUGAGCCUAUUUUCCUUAUCUCAUGUAUGAUCUCACUUGAUACUCUUUAACAACCCCAUGAAGCAAACAUUCUUAUUCCCAUUUUAGAAUGAGGAAAUGGUGUCUGAGGACUAACCCAAAGUAAACAUAGCUAGAAAGUGGCCAGGCUAGGAUGUUAAUACAGGCCCUAAAAUUCCCACUUCCAAUGCUGUUUCCACUGUAGCAAAGAGAAUAGUGGUCAUUUGAAAAGGUUUCCUGGUUUUUUUUAUAGCUUUUCACCCAUGGGCAGGCUGCACUUGCUGUAAUAUGGAGGUGGGUAAAACUUGGAUAGAAACCAGUCUUAUCGGAUGAGGAAGGAGAGAACUGAGUUCAGGGUGACUGUAGCAACUGAAACCUGAGAAGAUAUCCCAGGAGAGAACCACAGAGGAGGAGCCCUAAUUGUAUAAAGCCUGCCCAAAUCUCUGGCAGACUACUAAGCUAUACAGGAUCGACUCCAAGCACCCUAGAUAGAGCUAAAAUAACUGAAUGGAUAAUCCAGCUACUGCCCAAUGCAGAGGAAACAGAAUUUUGAAUUUUCGUUCUAGACAAAUGAAAACUAACUAAAAUGAAAAAUCAGUAUGUUUUAGAGGAACAAAACGGAAUUCAUAAUCUCUACAACAUAACCAUUCAAAAAGUCUGGGAUUCAGUCCUCAACUACUAUACGUAUGGGAAAAAAAAAGAAAGAAAACGUGACUUAUACUCAAGAGGAAAAGCAAUCAAUGAAGACCAACCCGAAGAUGACUCAGAUGUUGAAAUUAGCAGAUAAGGACUUUAAAGCAGCUUAUUUCUAUGCUCAAGGGCAUAGGGGAAAAUAUACUUGUAAUGAAUGAAAAAGUAAGAAAUCUCAGAGAAGUAGAAACUAUGCACAAAAAAUUCUGGAACUGAAAAAUACAAUAUCUGAAGUUUAAAAAUCAAACCAGCCUCAUAGAUACAGACAAAAAAACGGGUGGUUGCCACAGGAGAGGGAGGUUGGAGAGGGGAAAUAGGUGAAGGGGAUUAAGAGCUAUAAACCUCUAGUUAUAAAAUAAAUAAAGCCACGGGGGUGUAAUAUACAGCAUAAGAAACGUGGUCAAUAAUAUUGUGAUAACUUUGUGUAGGGACAGAUGGUUACCAGAUUUAUGAUGGUGAUCAUUUCAUAAUGUAUGCAAAUGUCAAACCACUGUAAUACACCUGAAACUAACAUAAUAUUGUACAUCAACUAUAUUUCAAUUUUUUUAAAUUGGAUGAGAUUAAUAGCAGAUUGGCAAUGACAGGAGAAAGGGUUGGUUAACUUGAAAUAAGCCAAUCUGAAGGAAAAAAAAAGAUUGGUUAAAAAUGAAGAGCCUCAAUGACCUGUGGAACAAUGUAAAAAGGUCUACCUUAUGUACAAUUGGAAUACCAGUAGGAGAGAAUAAAGAGAGAGAAGGGGCCAUUAAAAAAAAUUGAAGAAAUAAUGGCUGAAAUGUUCCCCAAAUCUGUGAAACACAAAUUUAGAAAUUUAGAAAUAGCAGUAAGCCCUAACUAAGCAGGUUUUAAAUACAGUGAAAACCAAGCAUAGAGACAUCAUAGUCAAACUCCCGAAAACAAAAGAAAAAGAGAAUCUUAAAAGCAGCCAGAGAUAAAGUACAUAUUACACACAGAAGAACAGUGAUAUGAAUUGUUGUCACCUUCGCAUUUGAAAGUGGGUCCCAGAGAUAGUGAAGUAAUGCCUCAAUUAAACACCCCAAUUUUAUUUAUUUAUUUAUUUAUUUUUCAUUGUGUUGGGUCUUCGUUGCUGUGCACGGGCUUUCUCUAGUUGCGUUGAGUGAGGGCUGCUCUUUGUUGUGGUGCGUGGGCUUCUCAUUGCGGUGGCUUCUCUUGUUGCGGAGCACAGGCUCUAGGCACUUGGGCUUCAGUAGUUGUGGCACGCGGGCUCCGUAGUUGUGGCACAGGGGCUUAGUUGCUCUGCGGCACGUUAGAUCUUCCCAGACCAGGGCUCGAACCCGUGUCCCCUGCGUUGGCAGGCAGAUUCUUAACUACUGCGCCACCAGGGAAGUCCCUAAACACCCCAAUUUAAAAAUGAGUAAAAGACCUUAGACACCUCAGCAAAUAAGAUUAUAAAGAGGGGAAAUAAGCAUAUGAAAAGAUGCCCAACAUCAUAUGUCAUUAGGGAAUUGCAAAUUAAAACAACAGUGAUCCCACUACACCCCUAUAAGAAUGGCCAAAAUCCAAAAUACUGACAACACCAAAUGCUGGCAUGGAUAAUGGAGCAACAGGAACUGUCAUUCAUUGUUGGUGGGAAUGUAAAAUGGUACAGACACUUUGGAAGACAGUUUGUCAGAACUAAACAUUCUCUUACCAUACUAUCAAGCAGUCAUGCUCCUUGGUAUUUACCCAAAUGAGUUGAAGUUAGGUUCACACAAAAAUUGCACACAAAUGUUUAUAGCAGCUUUAUUCAUAAUUGCCAACAUUUGGAAGCAACCAAGAUGCCCUCAGUAGGCAAAUGGAUAAACUGUGGUACAUACAGACAUUGGAAUAAUAUUCAUUGCUAAAAACAAAUGAGCUAUCAAGACAUAAAAAGACAUGGAGGAACCUUAAAUGCGUAUUACUAAGUGAAAGAAGCUAAUCUGAAAAGGCUACAUACUGUAUGAUUCCAGCUACAUGACAUUCUGGAAAAUGCAAAACUAUGGAGAGAGUAAAAGGGUCAUUGGUUGCCAGGGAUUAGAGGAAAAGGAGGGAUGAAUAGGCAAAACACAGGAUUUUGGGGGCCAGUAGACUAUUCAGUAUGAUGCUGUAAUGGUGAAUAUAUGUCAUUAUACAUUUGCCCAAAUCCAUAGAAUGUACAACACCAAGAGUGAACCCUAAUGUAAACUGUGGACUUUGCAUGAUAAUGAUGCAUCAGUGUAGGUUCAUUGAUUAUAACAAAUGUACCACUGUGGCUCGAUGUUGAUAGUAGGGGGGAGGCUGUGUCUGUGUGGGGCAGGGGGUAUAUAGGAACGCUGUGUUCUUUUAAUUCAGUUUUACUGUAUACCUAAAACUGCUCUAAAACUAAGGUCUAUUUUUUAAAAAUAAUGCAAAGAGAGAAAGCUAUAAAGUCAAUGGAGAAAUUAAAAGGGAGGAAGGCAAGAAAGAAUGGAGAAACAAAAAACAGAUGAGAUGAACAGGAAACCAAUAGCAGAAUGGUAAAUCCCAAUCCAGCCAUGUCAGUAAUUAUGUUAAAUAUAAAUGGAGUAAACCUUCAAAUUAGAAAUCAGAGAUUGAUUACCAGACUCAACUGCAUGCUGUCUACAAGAGGUGCAUUCUAUUUGGUUCUUUUUGGGUUUUUUUUUUUGCGGUGCGCGGGCCUCUCACUGCUGUGGCCUCUCCCGUUGCGGAGCACAGGCUCCGGACGCGCAGGCUCAGUGGCCAUGGCUCACGGGCCCAGCCUCUCCGCGGCAUGUGGGAUCCUCCCGGACCGGGGCACGAACCCGUGUCCCCUGCAUCGGCAGGCGGACUCUCAACCACUGCGCCACCAGGGAAGCCCCUCUAUUUGUUUUUUAAUUGAAGUAUAGUUGAUUUACAAUAUUAGUUUCAGGUGUACAGCAAAAUGAUUUAGUAUUUUUGUAAAUUAUGCUCCAUUAUAAGUUGUUACAAGAUAAUGAGUAUCAUUCCCUGUGCUAUACAAUAUAUCCUUGUUGAUUAUCUAUAUUAUACAUAGUAGUUUGUAUCUGUUAAUCCCAUACCCCUAAUUUGUCCCUCCCCACUUUCCUCUGCCCCCUUUGGUAGCCACAAGUUUGUUUUCUAUAUCUGUGAGCGUGUUUCUGUUUUUCAUAUCCGUUCAUUUGUAUUACUUUUUAGAUUCCACAUAUAAGUGAUAUCAUACAGUGUUUGUCUUUCUCUGUCUGACUUAUUUCACUGAGCAUAAUACCCUCUAGGUCCAUCCAUGUUGCUGCAAAUUUCAGAAUUUCAUUCUUUUUUAUGGCUGAGUAGUAGUUCAUUCUCUGUGUGUAUGUAUGUAUACAUAUAUACAUAUAUAUAUACCACAUCGUCUUUAUCCAUUCAUCUGUUGAUGGACACUUGGGUUGCUUCCAUCUCUUGGCUGUUGUAAAUAGUGCUGCUAUAAACAUUGGGGUGCAUGUAUCUUUUCGAAUCAGUGUUUUCAUUUUUUCUAGAUAUAUACCUAGGAGUGGAAUUGCUGGAUCAUAUGGUAGUUCUAUUUUUAGUUUUUUGAGGAACCUCCGUACUGUUUUCCAUAGUGGCUGCACCAAUUUACAUUCUUACCAACAGUGUAAGAGGGUUCCCUUUUCUUCACAUCCUCUCCAACAUUUGUUAUUUGUAGACUUUGUGAUGAUAGCCAUUCUGACAGGUGUGAGGUAAUACCUAAUUUUGGUUUCGAUUUGCGUUUUUCUAAUAAUUAGUGAUGUUGAGCAUCUUUUCAUGUGCCUGUUAGCCAUCUGUAUGUCUUUGGAAAACUGUCUCUUCAGGUCUUCUGCCCAUUUAUUGGGUUCUUUGUUUUUUUUGAUGAUGACUUGUAUGAGCUGUUCAUAAUAUUUUGGAUAGUAAUCCCUUAUGGGUCACAGCAGUUGUAAAUAUUUGCUCCCACCAUCUAGGUUGUCUUUUCAUUUUGUCAGUAUUUUCCCUUGCUGUGUAAAAGCUUUUAAGUUUAAUUAUGUCCCAUGUGUUUAGUUUUGCUUUUACUUCUUUUGCCUUAGGAGACAGAGCCAAAAAAAAUAUUGCUACGAUUAAGUCAGAGUGUUCUGCCUAUAUUCUCUUCUAGGAGUUUUAUGGUUUCAGGUCUUAUAUUUAGGUCUCCUAAUCCAUUUUGAGUUCAUUUUUGUAUAUGGUGUGAGGGAAUGUUCUAAUCUCAUUGUUUUACAUGUAGCUGUCCAAUUUUCCCAGAACCACUUGUUGAAGAGACUGUUUUUGCUUCAUUGUAUAUUCUUGCCUCUUUUGUCAUAGAUUAAUUGACCAUAGCCUAUUUCUAGGCUCUCUAUUCUGUUCCAUUAAUCUGUAUGUCUGUUUUCGUGCCAGUACCAUGCUGUUUUGAUUACUGUAGCUUUUUAGUAUAGUCUGAAGUCUGGGGGCACUAUACCUCUGGCUUUGUUCUUUUUCCUCAAGAUUGCUUUGGCAAUUCAGGAUCUUUUGUGGUUCCAUAUGAAUUUUAGGGUUAUUUGCUCUAGUCCUGUGAAAAAUAUCAUGCAUAUUUUGAUAGGGAUUGCAUUAAAUCUGUAGAUUGCUUUGGACAGCAUGGCCAUUUUAAUAACAUUAAUUCUUCUAAUCCAAGAGCACAGGAUAUCUUUCCAUUUCUUUGUAUCAUCUUUAGUUUCCUUCAUAAAUGUUUUAUAGUUUUCAGAGUAUAGGUCUUUCCCCUUCUUAGUUAAGUUUAUUCCUAGGUAUUUGAUUCUUUUUGAUGCAAUUUUAAGCAGGAUUUUUUUUUUUACUUUCUGGCAUUUUAUUGUUAGUGUAUAGAAAUGCAACAAAUUUCUGUAUAUUGAUCUUGUAUCCUACAACCUUGCUGAAUUCAUUUAUUAGUUCUAAUAGUUUUUGGGUGGAGACUUUAGGGUUUUCUAGAUAUAGUACCACGUCAUCUGCAAAUAAUGACAGUUUUACCUCUUCCCUUCCGAUUUGGAUGCCUUUUAUUUCUUUCUUGUGUGAUUGCUGUGACUAGGACUUCUAAUACUGUGUUGAAUAGAAGUAGCGAGAAUGGGCAUCCUUGUCUUGUUCCAGAAUUUAGCAGGAAGGCUUUCAGCUUUUCACCAUUAAGUAUGACAUUGGUUGUGGGUUUGUCCUAAAUGGCCUUUGUUAUGUUGAGAUAUGUUCCCUCGAUACCCACUUUCAGAGUUUUUAUUAUUAAUGGAUGUUGAAUUUUGUCACAUUGGUCUUUCUGCAUCUAUUGAGACGAUCAUGUGAUUUUUAUCCUUCCUUUUGAUAAUGUGGUGUAUCACACUGAUUAAUUUGCAUAUAUUGAAUUACCCUUGUGACCCUAGAAUAAAUUCAGCUUGAUCGUGGUAUAUGAUCCUUUUUAUAUAUUUUUAGAUUUGGUUUGCUAAUAUUUUGUUGAGGAUUUUUGCAUUUAUAUUCAUCAAAUAUACUGGCCUGUAAUUUCCUUUUUUUGUAGUGCCACACUGUGGCAUGGAGUGAGCAGGGCCAGAACAUUCAGCUUGGGCUAGGGUACACACGCAGCAAAGCGGCUGUGGGAAACCCAGCAGCUCUGCUGCCAUCAGAAGUCUGGGCUGCUUCUGGGGCACCUCUUGAGUAAAUUCCAGCAAUGGUCACCACUGCUGCCCCACCUGGGCUCCACCCCAGAGCUGGGUCACCUCUCCAUCUCAAGGUCAAGUCUCUUCCCAGGUCCUGGCCACCUUAGAUCCAGUGUCAUGCUUGUGGCAUGAAGUGAGCAGGGCUAGAACAUUCUUUCAGCUCUGGCUUGAGAGCGCAGCAUGGCUGUUGCAUGAAACCAGUAGCCUAGGACAGCAGGCUACUGGUUUCUCUACCCUACCUGGGGGCAGUCUACCCACACAGUACUCAUGAGUGGAGCCCAGACUUCUCUGUGGACUUCUGUGUAUCUUUCUUACAACCUUGGUUGUACAGGAGUCUUUCUGCCAAUUUCCAGUUAGUUUUUGGUGAGAAUUGUUCCACACGUUGAUAUAUUUUUGAUGUGUUCAUGGGGAGAGGUGAACUCCACAUCUUCUUACACCACCCUCUUGAUCUCCUAUCAAGAGAUGCAUUUAAAUAUAAAGGUACAGAUUGGUGGAAUGUAAAAAGAUUUUUUAAAUAUACCAUGCUAACAGUAAACAUAAGAAAGCUGCAGUAGCUAUAUAAUGUCAGAUAAAGUAGACUUCAAGACAAAAGGUGUUACUGGACUUUCAAAAGGACAUUUAGUGCUGAUAAAAGGGGCAGUUUAUCUGGAGGACAUAGCAAUCAUAAACAUGUUUGUGACUAAUAACCACCUUCAAAUUACAUGAAGAAAAAAUUGACAAUUAAAUGGAGAAAUAGAGAAAUCUAUAGCCAUAGUUAGAGAUUUUCAUACUUCUCUUUCAAUAACUGAAAGAAUUUCUGGACAGAAAAUCAGUAAGGACAUAAAAGAUCUGGAGAAAACUCGCAGCCACCUUAACCUGUUUGACAUUUAUAGAAAAAUAUAUCCAAUAGCUGCAAAAUACACCUUUUUUCAAAUGCACAUGGUACGUUCACUAACUUAGACCAUAUUCUGGGCCACCAAAUAAGUGUCCAUAAACUUUCUUUUUUUAAUUAAUUAAUUUAUUUUUAUUUUAUUUUUAUUUUUUUUCUGGUACGCGGGCCUCUCACUGUUGUGGCCUCUCCCGUUGCGGAGCGCAGGCUCAGGGGCCAUGGCUCACAGGCCCAGCCGAUCCGCGGCAUGUGGGAUCUUCCCGGACCGGGGCACAAACCCGUGUCCCCUGCAUCGGCAGGCAGACUCUCAACCACUGUGCCACCAGGGAAGCCCUAAUUAAUUUAUUUUUAAAAUUAAUUAGUUAAUUAAUUUGGCUGCAUUGGGUCUUAGUUGUGGCACGUGGGAUCUUCGUCGCGGCACGCGAGAUCUUUCGUUGCGGCGUGUGGGCUCUUCAUUGCAGCGCUUGGGCUUCUCUCUAGUUGUGGCGCAUGGGCUCUAGAGCACGUGGGCUCAGUUCUGGCGCACAGGCUUAGUUGCCCCGUGGCAGGAGGGUUCUUAUUUCCCCAACCAGGGAUUGAACUCUUGUCACCUGCAUUGGAAGACAGAUUCUUAACCACUGGACCACCAGGGAAGUCCCUCCAUAAACUUUCAAAGAUUGAAAUUGCCCUAUGUUCUCUGACCACAACCUAAUUCAGUUAGCAAUCAAUGACAUAGGAAGUCCCUAAAUAUUUUCAAAUUAAACAACAUACUUAUAAAUAACCCAUCAGUCAAAGAAGAAAUCACAAAGAAAAUUAAGAAGUAUUUUUAACUGAAUGAUAAUGAAAUACAUUAAAACUUGUGGGAUACAACUAAAGCAGUGCUGAGAGAGAAAGGUAUAACUUUCAGUAGUUAUAUUAGAAAAAAGAAAGGUAAAAUCAGUUACUAAGGUACUAACUUAAGAAGUUGGAGAAAACAAGAACAAAAUAAGCUUAAAGUAUAUGGAAGAAAGGAAACAAAGAUGGAGAACCUCGGGGGGGUUGGUGGUCGUAAUGUUGCACAAAAGUCAAACAUAUGUAUACCCUCAUGACCUGGCAGUUUCACUCCCACGUAUAUACCUAAGGGGAAUGAGACCAUAUUUCCUCAAAAGGCUUGUACAAGAAUGCUCAUAGCAGCAUUAUUUGUAAUACCCCAAACUGAGCACUACUUAAAUGCCCAUACAUAGUAGAAUGGAUAAAUAAAUUUUGGCAUAUUCACACAGUGAAAUACUAUUUAGCAAUAAGGUUAAACAGACUAUAGUUCUUUACUUAUAAGUAACAAAUAUAGCUAAGUUUUACAAACAUAAUUUGAGUAAAAAAAGUCAGACACAAAAGAGAAUAAAGUUCAGACAUGGCUGAAACUUGUAUAUGCUGGUUAAAAGCCAGUAUGGUGCUCACCCUUAGUGGGAGAUCAUGAAUGGAACUGGACCUGAGGGGAACUUCUGAAGAGUUAGUAAUGUUUUGUAUCUUAAUCUGGGUACCGAUUACAUGGAUGUGUUCAGAUGUGAAAAUUGACUGAGCUAUACUGUGUCUGUGUAUUUUUCUGCAUGUAUGUUACAUUUCAGUAAAAAGACAAAAGAAAAAAUUCAUGGGUAAUAUUUACAGCAAAACUAAGUGACAGUGUAUCCCCAUGAAACUCAAAAUAAAAACAGUUAAGGGCAAAUCAUUCAUAGCCACAAAAUCAACAAGGAAUGGACAUCUGUGUAGGAGAAAGCAGAAGGAGUUGACAGACCAUGUGAAAGACCUGACAAACAGGAGAAUUCCAAAACAGCAAACAGGUAUUCACUAAAAAGCGUGGCAUUCUGACAAGUGUGAGGUGGUAUCUCAUUGCAUUUGAGGUGGUUUUGAUUUACAUUUCCCUUAUGAUUAGUGAUGUUGAGUACCUUUUCAUGUACCUGUUGGCCAUCUCUAUGUCUUCUUUGGAAAAAUGUCUAUUCAGGUCUUCUGCCCAUUUCUUAUUCAGAUUGUUUGUACUGAGUUGUAUGAGUUCUUUAUAUAUUUUGGAUAUUAACCCCUUAACAGACAUAUUAUUUGCAAAUAUCUUCUCCUAUUCAGUUAAGUUGCCUUUUUGUUUUGCUGGUGGUUCCCUUUGCUGUGCAAGUGUUUUAGCUUCAUAUGGUUCUGUUUGUUUAUUUUUGGUUUUGUUGCCGUUGCCUGAGGAGACAGAUCAAAAAAAUAUUGCUAAGACCAGUUUCAAAGAGCAUACUGCCUGUGUUUUCUUCUAGGUGUUUUAUGGUUUCAGGUCUUACAUUUAAGUCUUUAAUUCGUUUUGAGUUUAUUUUUGUAAAUGAUGUGAGAAAAUGGUCUAGUUUCAUUCUUUUACUUGUAGCUAUCCAGUUUUCCCAACAACACUAACCCAUAAAAAAGAAUGAAAUCUUGCAAUCUGUGACAACAUGGAUGGACCUGGAGGGUAUUAUGCUAAGUGAAUAAGUCAGACAGAGAAAGAUAAAACAAAUGAGUCCUAGGCUUCCCUGAAACAGACUCAUAGAUACAGAGAACAAACUAGUGGUUGAGAGAAUGGGAGGAUGGGUGAAAUAGGUGAAGGAGAUUAAGAGAUACAAAUUACCAGUUAUAAAAUAAAUGGGUCACAGGGAUGUAAUGCACAGCACAGGGAAUAUAGUCAAUAAUAUUAUAAUAACUUUGUAUGGCACAUAAUUGAUACAAAUAUAGAAUCACUAUGUUGUACAUCUGAAACAAAUAUAUUGUAAGUCAACUCUACUUCAAUUAAACAUUUUUAAUGAAAAAAAUAAAAGUGUGGCAGUUCAGUUUAAGAACAUUAGUUGAAAUGGGGAGGGGUUUUUCCCUCCAAUAAAAACUGAAUACAAGGAACCUGUGGUCAGAAGGUCUGAAAGGGAUGGAGCAGGCUAACCCUUAAUGAACUCCUGAAAAUGAGCCACCAGAUCUCCCUACUCAUACACGGUCCCACACUGAGGAGAAAUUGCUGAGAACAGAAUUCAAAUUGAGCAGAACAGGGACAAUAAAGAAUAAGGAAAGAAAAGGUCUAGAUAAGAAUGGGAUAGAGGACCAGAACCAAGAACUCUCAUCAAGCAAGUCAUCCUAUUCCUUUAACAUACAUAAAAACAGCAGAAAGGGAGCCUCUGUGAAGUUAGAAAAGCCACCCUGAACCAUACUUCUUUCUAAAAGUUCAGGAAAGCUUAGUACACAUAAGAAUGAGCAACAGAUUGUGAUGAUGGUUGCACAGUUCUGAAUAUACUAAAAACCACUGAAUUGUACAUUUUAAAUGGGUAAAUUUUAUGGUAUGUGGAAAAUAUCUCAAUAAAGCUGUGAGAAAAAUGAAUGGAAAAUUAAUCAAGGUCAGAUCCCACACAAAAUUAUUAUAAGGAGAAAAAGGAGAGAAUCAAAAGCAUUCCAUGUUCCUUAUCUAUUUUAUGUAUAGUAGUUUGUAUCCGUUAAUCCCAUACUCCUAAUUUGUCCCUCCCUCCCUCCCUCCCUCCCUCUCUGCUUUGGUAACCAUAAAUUUGUUUUUUAUGUCUGUGAGUCAGUUUCUGUUUUGUAUAUAGAUUCAUUUGUAUUAUUUUUUAGACUCCACAUGUAAGUGAUAUAAAGGAUAUAAACUGAAAAAAUAUAUGUAUAUAACUGAAUCACUUUGCUGUACACCUGAAACUAACACAGUAUUGUAAACCAACUAUACUUCAAUUAACAAAAAAGAGAGAAAAAAGGGGGAGAAAAACAUUCCAGAAAGACACACUCAAAAAACAACAAAUUUAAAAUAUACUGUUUAAAAGUGAGUUGGAAGACAUUAAGAAAAUUAAAUAAGACAUGGAAGAACAAUACAAAGCAGGAUUAGAAAAACUCAGAAAUGUAGUGACAACUUGGGGGAAGUAAGAAGAAAGAAUCACUUUAGAAAUGAAGGCUGAGGGACUUCCCUGGUGGUCAGUGGUUAAGAAUCCGCCUUCCAGUGCAGGGGAUGCGAGUUCGAUCUCUGGUCGGGGGACUAAGAUCCCACAUGCCGUGGGGCAACUAAGCCCAUGCACUCUAGAGCCCAUGAGCCACAACUAGACAGCCCACGUGCCGCAACAAAGAGCCUGCGUGCCACAACUAAGAUCCAAUGAAGCCAAGUAAAUUAAAAAAGAAAUCAAGGCUGGGACUUCCCUGGCGGUCCAGUGGUUAAGACUCCAUGCUUCCACUGCAGCAAGCGCAGGUUCGAUCCCUGGUUGGGGAAUUAAGAUCCCACAUGCCAUGUGGUGUGGUCAAAAAAUAAAAAUAAAAAAAAUAGAGAUGAAGGCUAAGGCAGAAUGCUCUUUGACAUAAAUCAUAGCAAUAUUUUUAUGGAUCUGUCUCAGACAAAGGAAACAAAAGCAAAAGUAAACAAAUGGGACCUAAUUAAACUUAAAAACUUUUGCACAGCAAAGGAAACCAACAGCAAAAUGAAAAGACAACCUACAGAAUGGGAGAAAAUAUUUUGCAAAUGAUAUGCCCAAUAAGGGGUUAAUAUCCAAAAUAUAUAGAUAGCUCAUAUAACUCAAAUAAAGAAAACUUAAAAAUGGGCAGACAACCUGAGUAGACGUCUUUCCAAAGAAGAUAUACAGAUGGCCAACAGGAACAUGAAAAGAGGCUCAACAUUGCUAAUCAUCAGAGAAAUGCAAAUCAAAACUAUAAUGAGAUAACACCUCACACCUCUCAGAAUGGCUAUCAUCAAGAAGUCUACAAAUAACAAAUGUUGGCGAGGAUGUAUAGAAAUGGGAACCCUAGUACACUGUUGGUGGGAAUAUAAAUUGGCGUAGCUACUACGGAAGGCAGUGUGGCAGUUUGUCAAAAAAUUGAAAUAGAACUAUCAUAUGAUCCAGCAAUUCUACCCCUGGGGGGUUUUGGGGGGGUUUUUUUGCGGUACACGGGCCUCUCACUGCUGCGGCCCCUCCCACUGUGGAGCACAGGCUCUGGACGUGCAGGCCCAGCGGCCAUGGCUCACGGGCCCAGCUGCUCUGCAGCAUGUGGGAUUCUCCCGGACCGGGGCACAAACCCGCGUCCGCCGCAUCGGCAGGUGGGCUCCCAACCAUUGUGCCACCAGGGAAGCCCCUACCCCUGGGUUUUUAUCCACAGAAAAUGGAAACGCUAAUUCAAAAAGAUACAUGCAUCCCAGUGUUCAUAGAAUCAUUGUUUACAUUAGCCAGUAUAUGGAAGCAACCAAAGGUGUCCAUCAGUAGAUGAAAAGAUAUAGAAGAUGUGGUGUAUAUAUAUACAGUGGAGUAUUAGCCCUAAAAAGACUGAAACUCUGCCAUUUUCAACAACAUGGAUGGCCCCUAGAGGGUAUUAAUGCUUAGUGAAAUAAGUCAGAGAAAGAAAAAUACUGUAUGAUAUCAUUGAUAUGUGGAAUCUAAAAAAUAAUCUAAUAAAAGUAUAACAAAACAGAACCAGACUCACAGAUAUAGAGGACAAACUAGUGGAUACCAGUGAGGAGAAAAAAGGGAGGGAAGGGCAAGAUGAUAGGAAAUUGAGGUACUAGCUACUAUGUAUAAAAUGAAUAAGCUACAAAGAUACAUUGUACAGCACAGGGAAUAUAGCCAUUUUUUUAACAUCUUUAUUGGAGUAUAAUUGCUUUACAGUGGUGUGUUAGUUUCUGCUUUAUAACAAAGUGAAUCAGUUAUACAUAUGUCCCCAUAUCUCUUCCCUCUUGCAUCUCCCUCCCUCCCACCCUCCCUAUCCCACCCCUCUAGGUGGUCACAAAGCACCGAGCUGAUCUCCCUGUGCUAUGCGGCUGCUUCCCACUAGCUAUCGGUUUUACAUUUGGUAGUGUAUAUAUGUCCAUGCCACUCUCUCACUUUGUCCCAGCUUACACUUCCCCCUCCCCAUGUCCUCAAGUCCAUUCUCUAGUAGGUCUGUGUCUUUAUUCCCAUCCUGCCCCUAGGUUCUUCAUGACUUUUUUUGUUUUAGAUUCCAUAUAUAUGUGUUAGCAUAUGGUAUUUGUUUUUCUCUUUCUGACUUACUUCACUCUGUAUGACAGACUCUAGGUCCAUCCACCUCACUACAAAUAACUCAGUUUCGUUUCUUUUUAUGGCUGAGUAAUAUUCCAUUGUAUAUAUGUGCCACAUCUUCUUUAUCCAUUCAUCUGUCAAUGGACACUUAGGUUACUUCCAUGUCCUGGCUAUUGUAAAUAGAGCUGCAGUGAACAUUGUGGUACAUGACUCUUUGAAUUAUGGUUUUCUCAGGGUAUAUGCCCAGUAGUGGGAUUGCUGGGUUGUAUGGUAGUUCUAUUUUUAGUUUUUUAAGGAACCUCCAUACUGUUCUCCAUAGUGGCUAUAUCAAUUUACAUUCCCACCAACAGUGCAAGAGGGUUCCCUUUUCUCCACACCCUCUCCAGCAUUUAUUGUUUGUAGAUUUUUUGAUGAUGGCCAUUCUGACCGCUGUGAGGUGAUAUCUCAUUGUAGUUUUGAUUUGCAUUUCUCUAAUGAUUAACAAUGUUGAGCAUUCUUUCAUGUGUUUGUUGGCAAACUGUAUAUCUUCUUUGGAGAACUGUCUAUUUACAUCUUCUGCCCAUUUUUGGAUUGGGUUGUUUGUUUUUUUUUUUUGUUUUUAAUAUGUAUAAUUGUGAUAGAAAUUUUUUUAAUUAAUUAAUUUAUGGCUGUGUUGGGUCUUCGUUUCUGUGCAAGGGCUUUCUCUAGUUGCAGCGAGUGGGGGCCACUCUUCAUCGCGGUGUGCAUGCCUCUCACAGUUGCAGCCUCUCUUGUUGCGGAGCACAAGCUCCAGACGCACAGGCUCAGUAGCUGUGGCUCAUGGGCCUAGUUGCUCCGCGGCAUGUGGGAUCUUCCCAGACCAGGGUUCGAACCCGUGUCCCCUGCACUGGCAGGCACAUUCUCAACCACCAGGGAAGCCUGGGUUGUUUGUUUUUUUGAUAUUGAGCUGCUUGUAAAUUUUGGAGAUUAAUCCUUUGUCAUUUGCUUCAUUUGCAAAUAUUUUCUCCCAUUCUGACGGUUGUCUUUUCAUCUUGUUUAUGGUUUCCUUUGCUGUGCAAAAGAUUUUAACUUUCAUUAGGUCCCAUUUAUUUUAUUUUUGUUUUUAUUUCCAUUUCUGUAGGAGGUGGGUUAAAAAGGAUCUUGUUGUGCUGUAUGUCAUACAGUGUUCUUCCUAUAUUUUCCUCUAAGAGUUUUAUAGUGUUUGGCCUUACAUUUAGGUCUUUUAUCCAUUUUGAGUUUAUUUUUGUGUAUGGUGUUAGGGAUUGUUCGAAUUUCAUUCUUUUACAUGUAGCUGUCCAGUUUUUCCAGCACCACUUGUUGAAGAGGCUGUCUUUUCUCCAUUGUAUAUUCUUGCCUCCUUUAUCAAAAAUAAGGUGACCUAUGUGCAUGGGUUUAUCUCUGGGCUUUCUAUCCUGUUCCAUUGAUCUGUAUUUCUGUGUUUGUGCCUGUACCAUACUGUCUUGAUUACUGUAGCUUUGUAGUCUAAUCUGAAGUCAGGGAGCCUGAUUCCUCCAGCUCUGUUUUUCUUUCUCAAGAUUGCUUUGGCUAUUCGGGGUCUUUUGUGUUUCCAUACAAAUUGUGAAUUUUUUUGUUCUAGUUCUGUGAAAAAUGCCAGUGGUAGUUUGAUAGGGAUUGCGUUGAAUCUGUAGAUUGCUUUGGGUAGUAGAGUCAUUUUCACAAUGUUGAUUCUUCCAAUCCAAGAACAUGGUAUAUCUCUCCAUCUAUUUGUAUCAUCUUUAAUUCCUUUCAUCAGUGUCUUAUAGUUUUCUGCAUACAGGUCUUUUGUCUCCUUAGGUAGGUUUAUUCCUAGGUAUUUUAUCCUUUUUGUUGCCAUGGUAAAUGGGAGUGUUUUCUUAAUUUCACUUUCAGAUUUUUCAUCAUUAGUGUAUAGAAAUGCAAGAGAUUUCUCUGCAUUAAUUUUGUAUCCUGCAACUUUACCAAAUUCAUUGAUUAGCUCUAGUAGUUUUCUGGUAGCAUCUUUAGGAUUCUCUAGGUAUAGUAUCAUGUCAUCUGCAGUGACAGCUUUACGUCUUCUUUUCUGAUUUGGAUUCCUUUUAUUUCUUUUUCUUCUCUGAUUGCUGGGGCUAAUACUUCCAAAACAAUGUUGAAUAAUAGUGGUGAGAGUGGGCAACCUUGUCUUCUUCCUGAUCAUAGUGGAAAUGGUUUCAGUUUUUCACCAUUGAGGACGAUGUUGGCUGUGGGUUUGUCAUAUAUGGCCUUUAUUAUGUUGAGGUAAGUUCUCUCUAUGCCUACUUUCUGCAGGGUUUUUAUCAUAAAUGGGUGUUGAAUUUUGUCAAAAGCUUUUUCUGCAUCUAGUGAGAUGAUCAUAUGUUUUUUAUUCUUCAAUUUUUUAAUAUGGUGUAUCACAUUGAUUGAUUUGCAUAUAUUGAAGAAUCCUUGCAUUCCUGGGACAAACCCAACUCGAUCAUGGUGUAUGAUCCUUUUAACGUGCUGUUGGAUUCUGUUUGCUAGUAUUUUGUUGAGGAUUUUUGUAUCUAGGUUCAUCAGUGAUAUUGGCCUGUAGUUUCCUUUCUUUGUGACACCUUUGUCUGGUUUUGGUAUCAGUGUGAUGGUGGCCUCGUAGAAUGAGUUUGCGGGUGUUCCUCUCUCUGCUAUAGUUUGCAAGAGUUUGAGAAGGAUAGGUGUUAGCUCUUCUGUAAAUGUGUGAUGGAAUUCGCCUUUGAAGCCAUGUGGUCCUGGGCUUUUGUUUGUUUGAAGGUUUUUAAUCACAGUCUCAAUUUCAGUGCUUGUGAUCGGUCUGUUUAUAUUUUCUGUUUCUUCCUGGUUCAGUCAUGGAAGGUUGUACUUUUCUAACAAUUUGUCCAUUUCUUCCAGGUUGUCCAUUUUAUUGGCAUAUAGUUGCUUGUAGUAAUUUCUCAUGAUCCUUUGUAUUCCUGCAGCGUCAGUUUUUUCUCCUUUUUCUUUUCUAAUUCUAUUGAUUUGAGUCUCCUUCCUUUUUUUCUUGAUGAGUCUGGCUAAUGGUUUAUCAAUUUUGUUUGUCUUCUCAAAGAACCAGCUUUUAGUUUUAUUGCUCUUUCCUAUUCUUUCCUUCAUUUCUUUUUCAUUUAUUUCUCAUCUGAUCUUUAUGAUUUCUUUCCUUCUGCUAACUUUGGGGUUAUUUUGUUCUUCUUUGUCUAAUUGCUUUAGGUGUAAGUUUAGGUUGUUUAUUUGAGAUGUUUCUUGUUUUUUAAGGUAGGACUGUACUGCUAUAAACUUCGCUCUUGGAACUGCUUUUGCUGCAUCCCAUAGGUUUUGGGUCGUAGUGUUUUCAUUGUCAUUUGUUUCUAGGUAUAUUUUGAUUUCCUCUUUAAUUUCUUCCCUGAUCUCUUGGUUAUUAAGUAGUGUAUUUUUUAGCCUCCACAUGUGUGUAUAUUUUACAAUAUUUUUCCUGUAAUUCAUAUCUCGUUUCAUAACGUUGUGGUCGGAAACCAUACUUGAUACGAUUUCCAUUUUCUUAAAUGUACCAGGGUUUGGUUUGUGACCCAAGAUAUGAUCUAUCCUGGAGAAUGUUCCAAUACACUUGAGAAGAAAGUGUAUUCUGUUGUUUUUGGAAGGAAUGUCUUAUAAAUAUCAAUUUAGUCCAUCUUGUUUAAUGUAUCAUUUAAAGCUUGUGUUUCCUUAUUUAUUUUCAUUUUGGAUGAUCUGUCCAUUGGUGAAAGUGGGGUGUUAAAGUCCCCUACUAUGAUUGUGUUACUGUCUAUUUCCCCUUUUAUGACUAUUAGCAUUUGCCUUAUAUAUUAAGGUGCUCCUAUGUUGGGUGCAUAAAUAUUUACAGUUGUUAUAUCUUCUUCUUGGAUUGAUCCCUUGAUUAUUAUGUAGUGUCCUUCUUUGUCUCUUAUAAUAGUCUUUGUUUUAAAGUCUAUUUUGUCUGAUAUGAGAAUUGCUACACCAGCUUUCUUUUGAUUUCCAUUUGCAUGGAAUAUCGUUUUCCAUCCCCUCACUUUCAGUCUGUAUGUGUCCCUAGGUCUCAAGGGGGUCUCUUGUAGACAGUAUAUAUAUGGGUCUUGGUUUUGUAUCCAUUCAGCCAGUCUAUGUCUUUUCGUUGGAGCAUUUAAUCUAUUUACAUUUAAGGUAAUUAUCGGUAUGUAUGUUCCUAUUACCAUUUUGUUAAUUGGUUUGGGUUUGUUAUUGUAGGUCUUUUCCUUCUCGUGUGUUUCCUGCCUAGAGAAGUUCCUUUAGUAUUUGUUGUAAAGCUGGUUUGGUGGUGCUGAACUCUCUCAGCUUUUACUUGUCUGUAAAAUUUUAAUUUCUCCGUCAAAUCUGAAUGAGAUCCUUGCUGGGUAGAGUAAUAUUGGUUGUAGGUUUUUCCCUUUCAGCACUUUAAAUAUGUCCUGCAACUCCCUUCUUGCUUGCAGAGUUUCUGCUGAAAGAUCACCUGUAACCUUAUGGGGAUUCCCUUGUAUGUUAUUUGUUGUUUUUCCCUUGCUGCUUUUAAUAUGUUUUCUUUGUAUUUAAUUUUUGAUAGUUUGAUAACUAUGUGUCUUGGCGUGUUUCUCCUUGGAUUUAUCCUGUAUGGGAUUCUCUGUGCUUCCUGGACUUGAUUAACUAUUUCCUUUCCCAUAUUAGGGUAGUUUUCCACUUUAAUCUCUUCAAAUAUUUUCUCAGUCCCUUUCUUUUUCUCUUCUUCUUCUGGAACCCCUGUAAUUCGCAUGUUGGUGCGUUUUAAUGUUUUCCCAGAGGUCUCUGAGACUGUCCUCAGUUCUUUUCGUUCUUUUUUCUUUAUUCUGCUCUGCAGUAGUUAUUUCCACUAUUUUAUCUUCCAGGUCGCUUAUCCAUUCUUCUGCCUCAGUUAUUCUGCUAUUGAUUCCUUCUAGAGAGUUUUUAAUUUCAUUUAUUGUGUUGUUCAUUAUUGUUUCUUUGCUCUUUAGUUCUUCUAGGUCCUUGUUAAAUGUUUCUUGUAUUUUCUCCCUUCUAUUUCCAAGAUUUUGGAUCAUCUUUACUUUCAUUACUCUGAAUUCUUUUUCAGGUAGACUGCCUAUUUCCUCUUCAUUUGUUUGGUCUGAUGGAUUUUUACCUUGUUCCUUCAUCUGCUGUGUGUUUCUCUGUCUUCUCAUUUUGCUUAACUUACUGUGUUUGGUGUCUCCUUUUCGCAGGCUGCAGGUUCUUAGUUCCCGUUGUUUUUGGUAUUUGCUCCCACUGGGUAAGGUUGGUUCAGUCGGUUGUGUAGGCUUCCUGGUGGAGGGGACUAGUGCCUGUGUUCUGGUGCAUGAGGCUGGAUCUUGUCUUUCUGGUGGGCAGGACCAUGUCCGGUGGUGUGUUUUGGGGUGCCUGUGGCCUUAUUAUGAUUUUAGGCAGCCUCUCUGCUAAUGGAUGGGGCUGUGUUCCUGUCUUGCUAGUUGUUUGGCAUAGGGGUCCAGCACUGUAGCUUGCUGGUCGUUGAGUGGAGCUGGGUGUUGGCAUUGAGAUGGAGAUCUCUGGGAGAUUUUCGCCAUUUGAUAUUAUGUGGAGCUGGGAGGUCUCUGGUGGACCAGUGUCCUGAACUCGGCUCUCCCACCAGAGAGGCACUGGCCUGAUGCCCUGCUGGAGCACCACGACCCUGUCAUCCACAUGGCUUAGAAUAAAUAGGAGAAAGAAAGGAAGAAAGAAAAAAUAAAAUAAAGUUAUUAAAAUAAAAAAUAAUUAUUAAAAAAUUUUUAAAUUUUAAAAAGUAGUAAAAAAAAAAAAAGAAAGAAAGAAGGAAGAGAGCAGCCAAACCAAAAAACAAGUCCACCAAUGAUAACAAGCACUAAAAGCUAUACUAAAAAAACCCCAGAAAAACAGACAGACAGAACCCUAGGACAAAUGGUAAAAGCAAAGCUAUACAGACAAAAUCACACAC